CCCGAGGACGCGGGGCUGACCCCGCUGCGGGGCCGGCAGGAGCGGGGCGAAAAGAGAAAAAGGAGGCUCGGCUGCCGGGUCAGCUGCCGCGUAACCGGCUCCACUGAGCCGGGUGGCCCCUGGGUCGUCGGAGGCCCCGACCUGGCUCCCGGAAAGGCGCUGUGUCCGGACCUCACCGAUAUGCCGUCGGUGAUGGAAAGGGCUUUCAUCUGGAUAAGGCUCCGCACUUUACAGACCAUUUCUCCGUUUGUUGUCAUUUGAUAAAACACUUGUAAGAAUGGCAGGAAUCGAUGCAUUUGAAAAAGCAGUCGUGAAAGGAUGACUUUUCAUGCGACACGAGAGCCCCUACCAAUCCAUCCUGCAUUGCAGCCAGUCAUCUAGCACGUGAAUCUCAUGGCACUCCCUGCCUCUAUCUUUUUCAUCACCAAACAGGACAACUUAUAGAGUCACCCAAAUGCACCAUAUUCACAGGCUUUGCAAAUGCUAGUUCCUCUUUCUCACUAUCUCCCCCGUGUUGGCAAAAUAAAUGCCUAUAGAUGAAGAUAAAA